GUGCCAGCAGCCGCGGUAAUACAGAGGGUGCGAACGUUGCUCGGAAUUACUGGGCGUAAAGCGCAUGUAGGCGGACCUGCAAGUCAGAUGUGAAAUCCCCGGGCUCAACCCGGGAACUGCAUCUGAAACUGCAGGCCUUGAGUACUGGAGAGGGCGGCGGAAUUCCUGGUGUAGAGGUGAAAUUCGUAGAUAUCAGGAGGAACACCGGUGGCGAAGGCGGCCGCCUGGACAGUCACUGACGCUGAGAUGCGAAAGCGUGGGGAGCAAACAGGAUUAGAUACCCUGGUAGUCC
rnacentral:rRNA from 1 species